GUUUGAUCCUGGCUCAGAACGAACGCUGGCGGCAGGCCUAACACAUGCAAGUCGAGCGCGCCUUUCGGGGUGAGCGGCGGACGGGUUAGUAACGCGUGGGAAUAUGCCCUUUGGUACGGAAUAGCCUCUGGAAACGGAGAGUAAUACCGUAUGCGCCCUUCGGGGGAAAGAUUUAUCGCCAAAGGAUUAGCCCGCGUUAGAUUAGGUAGUUGGUGGGGUAAUGGCCUACCAAGCCUACGAUCUAUAGCUGGUUUUAGAGGAUGAUCAGCAACACUGGGACUGAGACACGGCCCAGACUCCUACGGGAGGCAGCAGUGGGGAAUCUUGGACAAUGGGGGCAACCCUGAUCCAGCCAUGCCGCGUGAGUGAUGAAGGCCUUAGGGUCGUAAAGCUCUUUCGCCUGUGAAGAUAAUGACGGUAGCAGGUAAAGAAACCCCGGCUAACUCCGUGCCAGCAGCCGCGGUAAUACGGAGGGGGUUAGCGUUGUUCGGAAUUACUGGGCGUAAAGCGCACGUAGGCGGAUCGGAAAGUUGGGGGUGAAAUCCCGGGGCUCAACCCCGGAACUGCCUCCAAAACUAUCGGUCUAGAGUUCGAGAGAGGUGAGUGGAAUUUCGAGUGUAGAGGUGAAAUUCGUAGAUAUUCGGAGGAACACCAGUGGCGAAUGCUGCUCANCGGUUUAGGGAGAACGGUGAGGACGAAAGUGUGGGGAGCAAACAGGAUUAGCCACCGGAGUAGUC
rnacentral:rRNA from 1 species